UACGGGAGGCAGCAGUGGGGAAUAUUGCACAAUGGGCGUAAGCCUGAUGCAGCCAUGCCGCGUGUAUGAAAAAGGCCUUCGGGUUGUAAAGUACUUUCAGUCGUGAGGAAGGUGUUAAGGUUAAUAACCUUAGCAAUUGACGUUAGCGACAGAAGAAGCACCGGCUAACUCCGUGCCAGCAGCCGCGGUAAUACGGAGGGUGCGAGCGUUAAUCGGAAUUACUGGGCGUAAAGGGCACGCAGGCGGUUAAUUAAGUUGGAUGUGAAAUCCCCGGGCUUAACCUGGGAAUGGCAUUCAAGACUGGUUAGCUAGAGUCUUGUAGAGGGGGGUAGAAUUCCAUGUGUAGCGGUGAAAUGCGUAGAGAUGUGGAGGAAUACCGGUGGCGAAGGCGGCCCCUGGACAAAGACUGACGCUCAUGUGCGAAAGCGUGGGGAGCAAACAGGGAUUAGAUACCCGU
rnacentral:rRNA from 1 species